rnacentral:rRNA from 1 species
CAGUAGCCGCGAGAAUACGAAGGGUGCAAGCGUUACUCGGAAUUACUGGGCGUAAAGCGUGCGUAGGUGGUGGUUUAAGUCCGUUGUGAAAGCCCUGGGCUCAACCUGGGAAUUGCAGUGGAUACUGGGUCACUAGAGUGUGGUAGAGGAUAGUGGAAUUUCCGGUGUAGCAGUGAAAUGCGUAGAGAUCGGAAGGAACAUCUGUGGCGAAGGCGACUAUCUGGGCCAACACUGACACUGAGGCACGAAAGCGUGGGGAGCAAACAGGAUUAGAUACCCGCGUAGUCCCUGUCUCUUAUAC